UGGCCGAAAGAGAGAUGUGAUUUUGGCUUGAUCCGUCGUUUUAUACUGAACUCUCUCUAAAGAGGUCUCCCUUCCUACCUUUCGGAAAGGUGUAGGGCAAGAGUAGGAUCCGCCCCCUUUUGUUUUCAGGCAAAGAAGUAAAGGCAGCAGCCUCCUCUUCCUUCUCCAUUUCAGGUCGAGUCGCACAAGCGUCGAGUUGUGUCCCGCUCAAAGGUCCUCCUUUCUUUUCCCAAAAGUGCCUCGUUUCCAUUUUAUUUUCAACUUCUUCUAGCUGAAACAUUCUUGGUAAAUCUUUUUUUAUUUCAUCGAGUGUAUCGGAAGACCCCAUUUUUAGAGAAGAGGAUUAUUAAUUCAAUCGAGUCGUGCUGACCGCGUUUCGGUGAACAAUUUUUGAAUUUUUAUUUUUUCUAUUGUCAGUUGCUCCUGCCAUCCGUAAUCGUCACCACACUUGUGUUAAACAACUAAGCGGAUGCGAUCCACAGCCGCUUGUUUUUCAUCUCAACUAUUGUCAAGGUGAAUUGGACAAGACACAAUCGAACCGAGUUGUCAGAUCACGUUGUUUUUCUUGGAAUGAGUUGGGCGGCUACUUUGGGAAGUUGUGGCGCUGUCUAUUGGUUUAAAACCAUCUACAACAAGCCAAAUAAGAAAAGGAAAACCGGUGAAUUCGACCUCGGACGUUCAACCUUCGUUUAUGGAAAAAAGAACAAGUGGCCCAAAACUCUUUUGGUAUUUUGGGUGACUUUUUUCUUUCUUCUACAUAGUUCUAUUUGAGUCAUUGCCGAAUACCCGAUUUAUAUGUAUGCGAGUUGGUUGCCCACGCACGCGGCCACGUCAUGGCACUUUCUACACGAAGAGAAAAAAGGGCGGCCCCUGACCGACCCGUGAGGGCAUCGGGAAGAACCACUGAACGUGUGCAGAGUUUUAUUAUAUAAAACGUCGUGACUGGCGUGUUUAUACAUGUGUGUGUGUGCAAUCUACUCAGGGAAUUUGUCUUUUUGUUUUAUCUGACGAAAUUUGUGUGUGAGAUUGUGUCUCAACCGGAUAUAUGGAGAAUUUUUGUUUUCUUCCUCUGUCAUUGGAAAUUAUUGGUCAAUUUGCUUAGGAUUUCCAUUUAUUUUUUUAAGGAAAUUUUGACACGUCACGACUUUCCCUCCUAGACUUGUCUUAAUGUAGGGAAAAGAUAAAUGUCAUUCGACACUGUUGGUUGAGUGUGUCUCCCCCCUCCUAAAAAAGAGAAAAAUUUGGUUUUUUGACUUUUUUGAAUGGGAGACGCGCUACCGGACAUUUGAUUGGACUCUAGAGAUAACAAUAAAAAUUGAAAAGAAACUCGGAGGAGAAGUAAAAUCCUAACAACUAGGGACUAACCCCCCAACCCUAGAAAAAGUGAUUAUAUUUCUUCUUCUUCUCCUCCCUUUUUACAUUCCUAGAAGAACCUUCAGGUCACAUUUUGAAUGGUCCCUGUUGUUAUUUCUACCUGACUUCACCUGUGGGAUCAGCGUCCUUCAGACCAACAGACUCUCUUGUCUGACGGUGUCUACGACAACUCGGCCGCUACAGCCCCCUCGACUCCUGGAAAGGGGGAGGAUUUGUGUUACCUUUGUGGCUUUUCUAUUCCCUUUUUUUUAUUAUUUCGGCGAGAAAUGCCAGCAAAGUGAAAGUCUCGGUAUUUUUCUUAUUCCCUCUUUUAAUUCAUUCAAACUUAAUGUUGCCGAACAUCUUUUUUUGCCUUUAACAGGCUUUUUCUUUAUCAGAUUAGAAUGGAAUAAAAACGAGUCAUUUGAAGAAGAAGAAACUCUUCUUCUGAUUACAAACAGCUUAAAGUUUUGCUUAUUAUAGCCACUUAACACGAUGAUGUCACUGAUGUAUUCCCGAAAUUUGAAACUGGCCGUCUGCCGACUUUCUAGACGUGCACAUCUUGUGUACACAUUUUAUUUUGAAAGCGGCAAACAACCCGGAGGAAAAGAGUAUUUGUGCUUGUCAUUGGGAUUAGUUUAACCUGGAUAAGUACGAACACGAGAGAGUAGAAAACAACGUGAGGGAUCAAAUGUAUUUUGUCUUUUUCAAUAUUUAUUCACAUACACGUACAUGAAAGAAAUGCAUCCAUCAUCUUUUUUUCUCAUUUUUUCGGGCCUGUUCGACAGUCGCAACGUAAAAGUUUUAUUGGUUUGAGAGAAGACGCGGAAGGGAUUUUCCGAAAAAGUAAAAAGAGUAGAGAAA